CUCAGAUAACAUGACGUUGACACACCUUAAACCCCUUACAAAUUAGGAGUUGACUCCAGCAAACAGUCAGUCUGAUCUUGCUCACUGAGGAGAAAAGAACAGAUCCAAAGUUUGGUCAACAGCCAUGAAUGUCAAGGUCUUGUUGGUGCUGUGUCUCAUCUUUGUUCUCCUCGUGCCCGAUGCUGAUAGUUUCUUUUGGCGUCGACGCCGUCGCCGCCAUGUGAUGCGUUACUGCUACAGACGUCGUUGUACCAUGAUUUGUGGCCGCCGCUGUUCAGGAUGGUAUAAAUACAGACGAUGCCGAAGAAGAUGCAAACCUAAAUGUUACACACGUAAAGAGCGCUGUUAUGGGAAGAGAGACGAACCUGAUCAAGACGAACCAUGGCCAGACAAUGACGAACCGUUUGCGAAUGAACCCGAGGUUCCCUUUGACCAAGACCAAGCCCUCUACGAAGCCAACUAGCCCUAGAUUAAUAGCUCUAGACUCGCAUGUAAUCGGCGUCUUCAUUAAGAACAUAGAAAAAAUCAAGUUCAAUACGUAUUAAAUAAUUUAUGAAGUUUAUUAUUUAGUAGGUAAAUAAACUGAGUGAAUUUGUUAAAUAGUCAGAUAAAUCAAUGUGAUCAGAAAAUUGAAAUUGGUU